rnacentral:rRNA from 1 species
AAGUCGUAACAAGGUUUCCGUAGGUGAACCUGCGGAAGGAUCAUUAAUGAAACUUCAAAGUCGGCCUGUUCUGUGCUGGUGGAAACACAUGUGCACGUCUGGUCGCAAAUCCACACACCUGUGCAUCUUUGACUCGAGGUUGUAAUGACUGAGAGUACUUUUACACACUCUGAAUGUAACGGAAUGUCAAAUGUACAAUGUACAAAUAAACAACUUUCAACAACGGAUCUCUUGGCUCUCGCAUCGAUGAAGAACGCAGCGAAAUGCGAUAAGUAAUGUGAAUUGCAGAAUUCAGUGAAUCAUCGAAUCUUUGAACGCACCUUGCACCCUUUGGUAUUCCGAAGGGUACGCCCGUUUGAGUGUCAUUGUAAUCUCACUUCAACUCUUUUGUUGUAUGUGGACUUGGAUGUUGCCGUGUCAAUACGGCUCGUCUCAAAUGCUUCAGUGUACCUUGCUUUUGCARUGUAUCCGGUGUAAUAAACAUUUCACCAGAGUUGGUCGCAAGACCGCAUUGUCAUGACAAGCUCUAUGCUUUCAAACUGUCCUCUUUGGACUGUGGUUUACCACACUUGACAAUUUGACCUCAAAUCGGGUGGGACUACCCGCUGAACUUAA